UACGGGGGGGGCAAGCGUUGUUCGGAAUUACUGGGCGUAAAGGGUUCGUAGGUGGCUCGCUAAGUCAGACGUGAAAUCCCUCAGCUUAACUGGGGAACUGCGUCUGAGACUGGCAAGCUUGAGUGCAGGAGAGGAACGCGGAAUUCCAGGUGUAGCGGUGAAAUGCGUAGAUAUCUGGAGGAACACCGGUGGCGAAGGCGGCUUCCUGGACCGACACUGACGCUGAGGCGCGAAAGCUAGGGGAGCAAACGGG
rnacentral:rRNA from 1 species